CAGAAAGUAUUCCUCCUCAGUUCUUGGCUGCCGCCGCGCUGUGUGCAAUAGGCUGCCUGUGGUGCAUUUAUUAGGAAGGAAUCCCAUCCGCGGUUAAGUCAUGCUGCAGCCCCGUAGGUCAGCCAAGCGAGCUGAGGACACUUGGCUCAUGCCUCCAAGUAUUCUGACUCGGUUUUGGUGUAACCCAGAUUUGUUGUCAGUGAUGAGCUGUGGCUCGUAAGGCACAGCAGGGCUUCCAGUAACAAGAGAGAGACCACAGCAGCAAGGAAAGGGAAGUAUCUCCCCUGAUAACGCUGCAUGUUGUUAUGUGGUUGGACCACAGAUUUUUUUAUUUUUUCCUUUUCAGGCUGAAAUAAUGUGAAAGUUGCAUCAGGAGCUAUCAGUGACAGCAUGGAUGAGUGGCUGUGCUCUGAGCAUUUUGAGCUCCUGGGUUAUUUUGUUGCCCAGGUCUGGCCCUUAGGGCACAGGGGGGACGAGCAUUAACUGGGCUGCAAACAGCACAUUGCAAAGGGGUUCAGGUGGUCCUAAAUAUGCCUGCGAGUUCUGGACAGGCAGAGCUUUUUUCCUGAGCUGAGCUUAACAGGAGGCUCUCAGAUAAAGCCAGAGAAAUAUCGUCACUAACCUGCUGUUUCCAGUCCUCUCCUGUAGCCACUGAUAGGGCAUUAAGUGGAGGGCUGAGGGACCCUGAAAAAUGAACGAGACAUCUGCAAAACUGCCUUUUUCUUAAGAUUCCUCCAACAUGCCAACAAUUUAUGCUUAAAGGGGUGAUUGCGUGACACAUCCUGGUAGAAGGUGUCCCUGCCCACGGCAGGGGAUUGGAGCUGGAUGGUUUUCAAGAUGAUCAGAAGAUAUGGCUGGUGAGCUCUGGGAGCAAAUUAAAGGAAGAUGUUGCGUCUAACAUAGACAGGAGUGAGGUUUUUAGAGCAGGGCAGGGAUUUAGCUGUUAACAUUAAUGGGACAUUCAUAAAAAAAUCCCUCUGGGCUACUUUACAAAUGAGCCCAGGGUGGCAGCAGGCCAGGCUGUUGACUCCACAGGCCUGAUGCGACUUUUCCCCAUGACAGCUUUAAGUCUCCAAGAUCACCUCCCUUAACUUUAAUACAUUUAGCCUGAAUUUACAGCACUGUAAGUGCGGGUGCAAGUUUUCUGUGCGUGUUAGAGGCCAAAUUUGAUAUUUCUGCCAAGAGCAAAGCCAGCCAAAACUGUGACACAGAGAGCCCAGAUCAGGUGGCGAGAUGGAUUUUCAGAACCCCUCACAGACCUCCAGUGGGACUGGUGCUGCGGGCUGCGAGGUUUUGAAAAUCCCAGGCAAGGGCCUCGAUGACCCCUCUAUGGACAGUGGCAUCCAAGUGACUCACAGGACCCAGCACAAAGUGAUUGUGCUGAUUAAAGCAGUUUCUAAAUCAGGUUGGCUACAUCAGCAGCCCUUUCCCCAGGGGACGUGACAGCAGGAGGUGGCUCCCGGUGCCAAGUGGGCACAGGCCCCAGCACAGAGGGACUCCAGGGAUCCCGUGGUGCCCAAAAUCAUCAGGCUGCUUCCCGUAAGAAGCAUUGCCUGACUGGAAUCAGGAAGUGCUGAGAAUUCCCCAAAGAACUAAAGAACUUGGAAGCUUUGCAGAGAUUUCUGAUGGACCCCCGAUGAGCACUGACGGGGAUGAGACCUGACGCUUGCCGCUGUCACUUGCCCCUUUGCAGAUGGUGUCCGAGCACGGUGCUGUGCGUGGAGGUGAUGAUGGGUCUUAAGGGGGUGAUCAAAAGGGCUUGUGGUGGUGCUGCUCUCGGCUGGAGAUUUAUGGUUUGAGGUUGGCCCCAGUGCCUGAGAAAACACAGCCUCUUGUUGCUACAUGGGAGAAGCACGGUGAGCGAGUGUUGUGCUCUGCUUAUCUGAGCCAGGGUUGGAAAUCGGGAGUAGGGGGGCCCAAGGCAUGCACACAUCAUGCUUGGUUACAAGAGCAGGCAGCACGGUGCUGUGCUGCAGAUCCACGAGGAGCAGCUGCUGAGCUUAAACUGUUGGUGUGUGAGCCAGCUCAAGCCUCCUGCUGCUCUCCAUGCCACAUGGCAGGAAAAGUAGCUUUUUCAGGGCACAGCACUUCGAUCCUGAGGUCCAUUCCCAGUGUCCUGUUUUAAAGAGUUCCUAGGAAAAAUGGAUUGAUAACUAUUGAGUCUUUUUCUUGUCACCAGGGGAUAAUUCCUCUUGCUGUAUGUGCAUCCAGCCUCCUCAAUGUCCAAAGCGAAGCCUUUAGCCCAGCCUUUCCUCCCCACUAAUUCCCAUUUCAAAGAUGAUUUCCCCAGAAUCAGCUUCCCCUGGACAGGAAAGGAGGGAGGGGGGGUCAGGUCUAAAAGAGCUUCAGGAGUCGUGGAAGGGACUGGUGACGUCUCCUGGUGUUUUCCAGCAGGUGAUGAAAUGCCAGAAGGCUCUGACACCUGGCAUGGGCUGCAGACAUCCUUCCGCUGCUCCCUGCACAAGUUGGAGCAGGAUCAGUGCACAGCAGGUAGCCUGGGGCCUUGGUGCCUGCCGCGCUCAGCUCCGGCACCCGCUGCCAUGAGGCACCCGCUGGGGCCAGCCCUGUUGCCUUCCCUCGCUGUCCCCUUUAGUGUGACAAGAGCUGGGAGCAGAGGAUGUGACAAAAUCCACGGGAGAGUUCCUGAAGGGGCACAGUGGUGGGGUCAGUGGGGAAGGGCAGAAGAUGCCUGGCUCUGCUCCGGGCUCUGCUUUCUCUGCGCUUCCCAAAGCAAGCUGCCUCAGUUCUCCCUUUCCUUUGUGUCCGAUUAGCCUGGCUGUUUUUCUGGGUAUGUGUUGCUGUUUGUUUUGCUUGGCCAAAGCCCUGCCAGUGGAGGAAAACGGAGGGAUAAAAGCCACAGCACCUCUCCACUUGUGCUUGUGCGGCUGUGCGAGACAUUGGCUGCGAGCCCCGGUCCCGCUCCCAGUGUUAGCAAGGGGCAGGGCAGGAGCAGCACCAGGGGGUUAAAGCGGCUGACGUGGCUUGGGCUGUACAGGUUUUCUCAAAAGAGAGGGCUCAAAAAGUUACUGAUCACAUUCUUAUCUAUUUAUUUAUUUUAACAUUACUGGUGAAGUUGCAUCGAUCCCAGGAAAAUGCUGUUUCCUCCUUGGCACAAAUCUUACUGAGGCAUGCUGUAUAAAGGCAAUUAAUCAUCUCCUUGCAGCCUUUGGAUUAUUAAAUACAUACCUAUUAAGAAUUACGUCCUCAUCUACUUCCACAGUGUGUUCAAGCUCAUUUCUAUUGCUGUUCACAGAAAUAAGCCCAACCAGCUCAUAUUUUCCCUUGUCUACCAUACAUAAUUAUUGUUCUUAUCCUUUCAUAAGAGUAUAGAAGUGUUGGCAUUUUUUUUUCUUCCCAAUUUGUAUUCAUCUCUAUUUCUGUUGGUCAAAAGCUCUGUACACAAUCCCUUCCAACAGCUCCGCUGCAAUGUGUCCAUUGGCAGUAGAGGAAGUGUUGUGUUAACUUCUAGGCAGCAUUUAAGACCUGUGUUACAAAACACUUUUGCUUCUGCAACAUGCUGGAGAGGCACAGAAAACUUGUCAGCGUGGUUUUCCUCUGGAGCUCUGAGGCUGCUGGGGUUGGGCUGCAGAGUCCUGUGGCUAAGGGGGCUUGGACAGUGCCAGCUCCAUCCUGCCUCUGUUUCUGCCUUUUCUGUGACUGGGAUCAAGUGCUCUGAAGCCCACCCUGUAUUUUUGGGCCUCUCUAGGACCUGGUAGCUUUGGUUUUCUGCCCAUGGUGAUUAUGGGAAUGAAACUUUUCUGCAAACGCCACUGUGAUUUCUUCUCUGCUUGCGAUUUCUAAAUAGGGAGCAUGCAUGGUGCCUCCCCUACUUCCCCUACGUCCCACUUGCAAACCCGCUAAAGCAGUGACCCUACUUUUUUUCAACUUCUCUGUGUAGCCCCUUGCCAAAUGCUGGUCUUGGCUGGGCUGUGAGAUGCUGGUUCAGAGAAGGAACAGGGACGGGCUGGUCCUUGCGAGGUGUGAGCAGUUUGCUCCAGAAGGAGUAAAACCAACAGUGGAGGCUGCGUGCAGGGAGCAGAGCUGCUGUCAUCCCCCGAAGCCUGACGUAGCAUGAGGACGUGACCAAGGAACAACCAAAUGCUGACGCAAACCCACUGAAAGCAGCUUUGCGGGGCAGGCUAUGAGCUCAGGGAAAGUGUGCGCUUGGUGGCUGCUGGUGAGACGUGCCUGAAGCAUGUGCAAUGCGGUGGCUGACCAUGCUGCACACAUCAAAUGGCUUUCUGGAGGAUGCUGCUGAGUGGAUGUCUCUUCACGGAGACCUUUCCCUCCCUGCCAGCUGGCAGCAUCCUUGUUAACUCUGUUUGGAAAAGGGAAACAACUCCUCCAAGCAGCCACACGUGCUGAAACAGCUGGGCCGUUUGGGAAGCUGAUGAAGUUCAGCAUCAGUCCCAGUGCUUGUAAAAUGUUUCUCUCCCCAGUGCUUUGUAUUAGCUUUCAGAUCUCAGCUUCUCUCAUCACCCUUUCUCCCUGCUGGUCGGGUACCUCCUCCUGGCCGGCUUCUUGUGUGGGUGCCAGGCUCAGGGGCUGCGGGCGGGGAGCUGGAAACUCAGGCCAGUUUGUUUGCACAGCCUGCUGGACGCACUUCCACUCGUGUCCUGGAUACAGCAUCCAGUUCCUGGACGAGCCUGAGAGUUUAGCUGAAAUAAACAAAGCAGAGACUUAAAAAUAAGCCAGGUUAUCGGAUCUGAGCUCGUCACUCUGCAGUAGCUUAGCCAAUCACUUUUUGUAUUCAAACAAGCACCUUACUGUUCAAAUAGCAGCGUCCAUUUGGCCAGUCAAAACAGCAGUCUGGGAAAUGAGGACUUAUUGUUGAGUUCAGAAGCAAACAAGCUGGGUUUCACACAGCCUUAGUGCUUUAGCAGAAAUCCCAGGUUAACAACACAGCCAGAGGCAGGGCUUAGGCAAAACAAGGGUGCAGGGGUGCAGAGGGUUCCUCCAGUGCUGCUCACGUAUGCAGGGUGAGAGGCCAGGUAGCAGCUUGUUGCUGGCAGGCUGCUUGGAUGAGCUUUUCUCCCUCCACCCUGCACCCCUUUGUUCAAGCAGAGGUGUCAGAGGAACGUGCCGCAGGGGCUGAGCCUCUGGUGUGGCUCUGACGGCAGUCAGAGGUUUGUUUGCGUAUUUUCUGCACUCCAGCCGGCUGUGUGCCCUGCAGCUGACAUGAGCCCAUAUUUCGAGGUGCCAAGGGUGUAAAGCCAGCCUUUUUAACAGGCUUUUCUUCAGGCCUAAAGACUUGGUCUUGGGGGAUAACCAGUAAAGAAAAUUACCUCCACGGCCCAGUGAUGCUUUGCUAGGUGUAAUGCUCAGGGAUGUUCUUUGUAAGAAAUACUGAUGCUUUAAAAGGAAAAAGUGAAAAAAAAAAAAAAAAAAAGCUGCCACGAGGAGUUGCUGCGCAAGCAGAACGAGCCACGUGCGCAGGGCUGGACGCACACGGGACUUGCAGUAUGCACCAGGUUUGUUUGUGGUUCAGGUCCUUAUCUGCAAGAAACGGUGAUAAACGCAUCCCAGUGUGGUUAGCCCGUGAGGUGUCUCUGUCAUUAGGCUUAUCGUUCCUGUGCUGAGCAAUGCUGAUGUGUCUAUGCCUGGGUGUGCUGCAUGGCCCAGCACGGCUGCGGGACUGCGCUGAUAAGGCCGCACCGUCAGGAGGCCGGCGAAGGGAAGAUCCUUUCACUGUGCAGGUCCAUAGCCCUCAUCUGGCGUGAGGGGUGACAAAAAUCAUCCUCCCUGGGAGAGGACAGGGGGUGGGGAGUGUCCAGGGAACAAAGCAGUUGCUUCUUGUUGCUUAGGCACAGCUGCUGGGGUCAGGACUGGCUUUUUGCCUGGAGGUGCUGCCACAUCUCCAGGUCUUUUAGGCUGUUUGUGUCCCCACCUGCAAGGCCCUGAGGUGGCGAGUCCACCCCUGGGAGCUGGGAGGGACCGAGGGAAGGCCGAGCUCCCAGCCGUGGCCACGCAGGUCUCAGGGUGGGCUGGAUGAGUCUGGGGGCCCCAUCCCCAGCGCAGGGCCCUGUUCCAAGAGGUUUCAUCACACGUGAGUCACACGAGCAAGAAGAACGUGUCAUCAUUGCCCUUUCACAUCUCUGCGUAAAGUGAGACAUCCAAAGCACGAGUCACUGGCUGAUGCUCGUGGAGGAAAUUGGUGACGAAAGCAGAAUCCAGUCCUGGCCUGCAGCCAGAUACAGACGCGGUGUUUCCCAGAGGCAAAUAGGUGGUGUCUGGGCUAACACCCAUGUGCCCUGCACGGCAUGGCAGCAUUUGGGGAUGGGCAGAAGACCAGAAUGGCCUGGAAAGGAAGUGUUGUCAUGAAGUUUCUCAAAAGUUACAACAGAUGAAAGGUAAAUGAAUGGGGAAAAAAAAAAAAAGUUACAUUUUCUUUUGUGGAAUUAUCCCCCAUUUACAGCGGCUAAAGCAUAAAAAACGGAUUUAAAAGCUCUGCCCAAAUUCAUGCCUGGUGAAUGGUCUUGCACAUUAGCAUGUGACGUAAGCUGCCACACCAAUAUCAAGUGACAAUAAAGAGGAAAGUUAUUUAUGAGACUUGUUAGCAUAACUGUUCUUCUGAGGAAUAGAGCUGCCACUCCGCAGUAACACAGCACACAUGUGAUUUAUGGCUUGCAGCUGAGAUCAGCAGUUAUUUGUGUGCCAGCCUUUCCUGUACCUCAUGUGCAGGCCUUCAGACACCUCUGGCUCACGUUAAAGUAAGUGAUUGAUGGAGAAUCUGAGCUGGCACCUAGAGUCAAACAGAAAAGGAAAAUAUUGGCUCCCGUUUGGGUAGUUCCUAAUCUCAGCAAAAUUAGGAAAGCCUUGUGGCUAAUGAAGUAAGUCAACUAGAUCACCCUGACCAGCCCUUUCUGCUUGCAAAACUGUAUUACUGUAAAAGAGGGAAGAAAGCACAAGUUGCCAACGUGUUGAGAAUGUGGAGUAGAGAUUGCCUGGAACUAGCUGUUAGGACAAUAUAAAUCCACAGAAAGUCCCCCUCCACCACUGGGGGGCCAAGGCCACCUCCGGGCAGGCCCAUGCAGGCAGGGAGGGCUGGUGAAGGUGCCGCAGGGCUCAUCAGGGGACACAUCUCCCAGGGGUGCUUUUCUAGGGGCAACAUGUCUCUGUUGGGCUCAGCCACUGAAUUUGAACAUUUAAGAGUUUAAAAACAGAGUGAGAGGGAAAUUGAGAGCUGCAAGGCCCGACUCAAGGAUGGCAGAAAUUGAUUAAGGGACUGUACAUGACUUUGCCAAGAGGUGACCGUGGGGCACCAGUGGGAAGCCAGAAGAAAACUGUUUGGUUGCAUCUUCAAAACCACAGCCCAGCCUUCCUGAAACACUUUCAGCCAAAGGCUCACUCCUGGCAGAGCAGUGACAAAAGAGGAAAAACACAAACCUAAGUAAAAGGUUAAGGCCUGUCAGUUUUGAAGGAAUAAGAAUUAUUUAUUGCAGUAAUCAUGUUCGGUGAUGUGGGAUUCAUACUUUGCAGAGGUGUGGAAAAGGCAAAUUUAUUUGCAGUUAUUGCAAGGUGUGUGGCUGUUUCUCCAAUCAGGCAGAUUUCUGGGAAAGCGUGAAUGGUAAGAGCCGCAAAGGACAGCCAGGAACAUAAAGUGUCUUUGGAGAAAUCCCCCUAUGAGCAAACACAGCCCAGGAUGCACAAAACUGCCUAGCAGAGCCUUGGGCUUAACCCGAGUGAUGAAGGUGCCCUUUUGAGCAGAGCGACCAGAUGGUGAUGAAGAUACGGCAGGGCCGGCCAGUGCCACGUCACAGAGCCAAUACGAAAGCAAAGAAACCAGAACGAGUGACAAAAAGUGACUAAUUUGCCCAGAAGGAUGUUGCCUGAGUAAGCAGUCAGUCAUUUCAGGAUUCAGAGCACCGACGAGCCCUCUCUCAUGCGGUUAUCUUGAAGGUCACAAUGGCAUGAGGUGCUGGGAAGCAGUCCCAAGGCUCGGUGAUGAGCCUAACCUCAGAGCCACCAUCACACACGGGUUGUUGAAUUUCCCCUCUACCUAUUAUUUCCUGAUUCAGCUUUGGCCCCUGUACCUGUUCUCUGUGAACCUGCAACCGGAGAAGGGACGGGAAACUUUUACCGGGACCGCAAAGUGGGAGCUGAGCCUUAUCUCCUUCCAGUGCGCUGACAACACAGCCUGCAUAGUGCUCAGAGACCUGGCUGGCAGCAGUGGCGGUGGGCUGUGGAGGUGUGCUGAGCUGUCUCCUGCCACGCUGGAGAGGAGUGGCUUUGCCACGGGAGCAUCUUCUACUGCCUGCAGCAAGAAUGUGAGGGUUUCACAAGGGAAAGGCAAGGCUGUGUGACAGAGCCUGGCAAAAACAAGGCAGCUUGAAGCCACCCCAGGGUACAACCAUCUCCCGCCCCAACACAAAGCCAGGAUGUUACAGGAGCAGGAUUGCAGCAGAUUUUGUCUCCAGCCUUUCAGAUACACAUUGCUGGGAGCUGUUUGCAGAGACCUUGGAGGAGGAGACGGAGACUGGGGACAUGGAGAGCUGCGGAGAAUUGGUUCUGGGCUGGCUGCUCACCCCCAGCUUCCCUUCCUUGUUCUGGCUGGGGCUGGGAGUUGCGCUGCCAAAAACCAGCAUGGUAUCAGCCCAUGCUCACCCCCGUCUUGCUGUGCUGAGGCUGAAUGUGGUUGCAGCAACAACAAGCCUGGCACAAAGUUUUAUUUUAUUUUUAGCCUGACUGGAAGCAGAAAGCAAUAGAUAUUUUGCCACUGAGCAAUUUCCGUCACUGUUUUGCAAACUCAAGAUGAUUCUGCAGCUCAGGUAAACAUGCAGAGUGCCCCAAGCUUUGCACCUCUCCUUGGCUUCCCAUCACCUCUGCCCACCCUGAGCCACAGCAAGCAGAGAAGAAAGGCCGAGGCACCAGUCUGGGACUUGGCUGGCUGGCGUGGAAGCCACAGAGCCUCUGUGUCCUUCCAUCCCUCGGUUUUGUCCCUGAUGGAGCCCAGUGCACAGGAGUGCCCUCAAAUUGGGAUGGUCACAGGUGUGCUCAGAGCAGCGGCGUGUAAAUGCCACCUAUAAAUAACUGCCACGCUGAUGGCGCAAGCAAGACAAUUUUGAGCCCAUACUGAGCACGUGGCUGCAGCUCGACAGUAAAGAUGACACAUUGAGAAAUAAUUCUCCUGGUUACAUCAGAGCCAGGAAACUCUCUCAAUUAGAGAAAUAUCCUUUCCAUUAUGAGACAUACCCAACAUUCACUUAUCUCAGCACUCUCUUAAUCCCAGGCGCCAUGCCCUGCUUUGCAAGCACCCGGUAAGGAAGGUUUAAUUUUGGAGCUGAGGUGCCCCGAGGCUGUAGGCAGUGAAACGUCAGCUGAGUUUUAGGGAUGUUGCUUGUAGGUUGCAGCAAGACUGCUUUGGUCUUCUGCUGACUUCGGUGGUUUGCAAUAGAUCUGGCAGCAGUUGCCUCCUUGGCUGUGACGACCCCGGUGGUUCCACGUGGUAGGACGCAAAGAAAAAGGCCCAUCCUCGUGAGUCUCAAAACUUUUUACCAAGUUCUCAAUUUUGUUUUAAUUUUGAUUUUGAGAUUUUCCCCAUGACUCAGAGCUUGUUCCUUUUCUGCUGCUCUUGAACCGUGGCCUGCUCCUGAUUUACUCCAAUCCCAAUGGAAUCAGCCCCAAACCCGUGAUUCUCUUGUUCCCCACAUCACACACAGGCUCCUCCAGCUACCGCAGCCUCCUCCGCCCUCUGUGCCAGGCUGUCCUGGGGCACCCUCCUGCACCUGCUGGGGACCUGCUCCAGGGCAUGACACUGUUUUCCUGCUCUCCAUUUCCAAACUCACCACUUAUCUUCCUGUGCUCUGUGGUGGCCAUCUGAGAGGGACCCGGGGCUGUGCUGGGGCAAAGCUGCCAGCCCAACAUGUGACUCCAUUACUCUGAACUUUGGGUGUUCUCAUCCUCCUCUGCCCCUUCAGUAAUAAAGCUUGGUGCUGCUGGCUUCAGCCAACCAGCUCUACCUGCUUUUCAUUUCAAUUUUUUAACCAUUUCUGCUUCUCUAUCUCCUGCAAGCCCCACUGCUACCCGAGCUCUGCAUAGGCUGGGCAGAAGGUGCUGAGGCCGGAGCCGAUCCCAGCCCAGAGAGCAAGACCAAGGCCAUUUGCUGGUGUCAUCUGUGGUCCUGUGGCGAUGGGGACAGCCCAAUCAUGGUGGGAGCCACAUGGUGCUGGUGUUGCUCUCUGCUGCAUUCAUUUUUUUUUAUUUUUUAUUUUCCUUUUCUUUUUGGUGACACUGGCAGAGCUUCCCCGCCUGCUGGUGUGCUCACUGAUGUCUCCUGUGGGAACCUUGGCAGGCGCCAGCUGAGCCUCCUCUGCAACUGCUGUGGGGGAAGCCAUCGAGGCUGAACCCUAAUGGGCCCAAAUAUCUCAGAUGGGUAGCUAUUGAGAGGAAAUUGAUUUGGAAAUGUAAUGUGAAGUGCAAGCAAAGCAUACAACUACUAAGCCCAAGGCUGCAGUUGCCCUGCUUUCACAAAGCUCCCGGCUAUUGUUUCCACUUACUGGGUUAUACUCCAAAGGAACGACAGCUGUAUUUGUUUCCACUUACUAGGUGCUCUGCCUCUCCAGAACACAUAAAAAUGUCUUCCAAUUUCCUGAAGCAAAGACAAUCUCUUCAAGUAGUUACACUGAAGAGCUCACACUUUGCUAACCUCAAGCUGUAGAACAGGAGUGGGGGAAGAAGGUUUGCUAACAUCUUCCCUGGAAAUUCACUUUCCUGCACAGUAGAACAUGCAGAGAAUCUCUCAGGACCCUGCACCAGCCUGCUUUUGAUGCUUGGAAAGACCAUGAGAUGAAGAUGAGCUGCCCGCCUGCACGACCUGCACCUGCCUGGCCCGCAGUGACACCAGUUUCUGGUUACAAGCACAGGGAUUCCUGCAGCACCACUCUUGACUGUGCUUGCAAAUUGGAAAUGCUUCACAAAUAUCAGCCCAAACAACUCUUCUCUCAUCUUUUUCAGUGCAGCUCUUUUACAUGGUGUCAAUCAUUCCUCCAGGGAGCAGAAGCACCAGCUCACACAGCCACCCACUCCCCACAAAUAGCAAGUGUCGGAUGGGAACAGUCUAGCUGAGAUUAAAGAAAUUUGGAGGUGACUUAUUGAUCCCAGGAGGAAAACUAAGCCUGACUUCAGUGCUUUGCUCAUCUGCCACGAACCUGUGGGAAAUGCGUGCAAAGCACUUGCACCAGUGGAAGUGGGAAGCCCUGAUUUGGUGCCGUCUCACGCUUGUUUUGCACAGAUGGGUUCCUUCCAGAAGCUAUGAAGUGGUGUAAAACCAGCCUCAGUUCUUGACACUAGAAAGCCAAGCCAGCCCUGCUUCCAUAAAGCCCCCCAGAGAAAUGACAACAAAAAUACCCCUGCAGUCCUUACGGUUUCUCCUGGUGCUGUGCAGAGCGAAGGUCUUCGGGACUGGAUCUCUUUCUGUCACCAACCCUUCAGCGUCCUGCUGGCCUUUCUGAAGAUGGUUUUUCAGUGCUUUCGUCCUCUCCUCUCUUCUGGUAACAGAGCAGAGUUCUCUUCUCAUAGCCCUGGCCCUGGCCCCGUCCCACCACCUCCUGCCGUCCCCAGCGGUGAAUGAGGUGGCGGCAGGAAGCCCGGCAAGGUCUCUGCACCGCGGUUUCUCGCUCUGCGGUGAGGACGUGGGCAUUGCUCACACGGCAGCAGGUGCUGCGGUGCCAGCUCCUACGGCCACUGCGUGGUGGGCAGGGUUAACGGCUUUGUUUUCACUCCUCACCCACAGAAACAAGUGUGGGUGCCGUCUUUCACUUUUAAGCUCUGCGGCUCGAUUUGCCAGGUUGGACAAGAACAAGGUGUGGAGUGGAUUUUCUCAUGGUCUCAGCAUCUCAGGCAUUUGGCAGCAUCAUUUGGUGUGCCUGGGCUCUGUGCUCGUAGGUUUCCUUGUACACUUUUAUUUCGGUGUCUGAAUGUGGUGAGCCAGACUCUUUUGGUCAUCUAACCAGAAAUAGUUUUUUUUUUU